ensembl:ncRNA T19C3.11 ncRNA
ACACGCCCGCCGCCGGCAUCGGGAAAACGACGACGCAGACGGGCGGUACUAUUAUAAUAAUGUUGCGAACAUUUUAUGAAACGAUAAGGAACAUUUUUGUUUGUUU